AAAGAUUAAGCCAUGCAUGUCUAAGUAAAAGCAAAUUUUUACAGCGAAACUGCGAAUGGCUCAUUAAAUCAGUUAUGAUCUACAUGACAAUUACUUUACUACUGGAUAACCGUGGUAAUUCUAGAGCUAAUACAUGCAGAAAAGGCCCAACUUCGGAAGGGCUGCACUUAUUAGAUCAAAACCUCCCUGGGUAAAACCAGUUCUUUGGUGAUUCAUAAUAAUUUAGCUGAUCGCAUGGCCUUGCGCCGGCGACGGUACAUUCGAUUUUCUGCCCUAUCAGGCUGUUGAUUGUAAGAUAGAGGCUUACAAUGGCUACCACGGGUAACGGGGAAUUAGGAUUCUAUUCCGGAGAGGGAGCCUGAGAAACGGCUACCACAUCCAAGGAAGGCAGCAGGCGCGCAAAUUACCCAAUCCCAAUACGGGGAGGUAGUGACAAUAAAUAACAAUGCUGGGCCUUUUGGCCUAGCAAUUGGAAUGAGUACAAUUUAAAUCCCUUAACGAGGAUCAAUUGGAGGGCAAGUCUGGUGCCAGCAGCCGCGGUAAUUCCAGCUCCAAAAGCGUAUAUUAAAGUUGUUGCAGUUAAAACGUCCGUAGUCGAAUUUCCACCUGGUGUCUGUACCGCCGGUUCUUCAUUGAGCUGGAUUGGUUGCAGGCCCGGUGAAAAAGUUUGGUCUAUAGCUUGGCUGGCUUCGGCCGGCCGAGUUCCCUGGCCAGGCGUAUUACCAUGAGCAAAUCAGAAUGCUCAAAGUAGGCCUACGCGCCUGAAUGUGUUAGCAUGGAAUAAUAAAAUAGGACUCGAGUCUUGUUUUGUUGGUUUACUUGACAUUGAGAAAUGAUGAAUAGGAACGGUUGGGGGCAUUUGUAUUUGGCCGCUAGAGGUGAAAUUCUUGGAUUGGCCGAAGACAAACUACUGCGAAAGCAUUUGACCCAGGACGUUUUCAUUGAUCAGGGACUAAAGUUGAGGGAUCGAAGACGAUUAGAUACCGUCGUAGUCUUAACCACAAACUAUGCCGACUAGCGAUUGGGCCUUGACCUUUGGUCAGGUUCAGCAGCUUAGCGAAAGUAAAGUCUUUGGGUUCUGGGGGGAGUAUGGGACGCAAGGCUGAAACUUAAAGGAAUUGACGGAAGGGCACCACCAGAAGUGGAGCCUGCGGCU
rnacentral:rRNA from 1 species